GAGCACAUUUCAUUGUCCCAUUCUUUUAUUGUAAGAACUGAGAUAUUUCUUAUGUGCUAGAUAAACCCUGGAGGUAAAUUAGCAGUUUGGCUAUAUUGUGCCACAACUGCCAGUCCCCUUCAUACAUGA